GGCCUCCCAGUACUUACCACAGGCUAUGUUCUUACACCACCUGUACAGAAAGAGGAGGCAGAGUAAACCCACCUCAUACACUCCUCAGCCCAGGCCCUUUGCCUGGUCUGUAUUGUGAAUGGAGGGGCAUGG